GAGCACGUAGGUGGGUUUGUAAGUCAGAUGUGAAAGCCUCCUGUUCAACGGGAGAAUUGCAUCUGAAACUACUGAUCUUGAGUGUAGGAGGGGAGAAUGGAACUUCUGGUGGAGCGGUGAAAUGCGUAGAUAUCAGAAGGAACGCCGGCGGCGAAAGCGAUUCUCUGGCCUAUUACUGACACUCAGUGUGCGAAAGCUAGGGGAGCAAACGGGAUUAGAUACCCCGGUAGUCCUAGCCGUAAACGAUGGGCACUAAGUAGAGGGGUUAAU
rnacentral:rRNA from 1 species